rnacentral:rRNA from 1 species
CCUACGGGUGGCAGCUGUGGGGAAUAUUGGACAAUGGGCGAAAGCCUGAUCCAGCCAUGCCGCGUGUGUGAAGAAGGCCUUCGGGUUGUAAAGCACUUUCAGUGGGGAAGAAAGCCUUGGGGCUAAUACCCUCGAGGAAGGACAUCACCCACAGAAGAAGCACCGGCUAACUCCGUGCCAGCAGCCGCGGUAAUACGGAGGGUGCGAGCGUUAAUCGGAAUUACUGGGCGUAAAGCGCGCGUAGGCGGUCUGAUAAGCCGGUUGUGAAAGCCCCGGGCUCAACCUGGGAACGGCAUCCGGAACUGUCAGGCUAGAGUGCAGGAGAGGAAGGUAGAAUUCCCGGUGUAGCGGUGAAAUGCGUAGAGAUCGGGAGGAAUACCAGUGGCGAAGGCGGCCUUCUGGACUGACACUGACGCUGAGGUGCGAAAGCGUGGGUAGCAAACAGGAUUAGAUACCCCGGUAGUC